UAUUAUGUUAGAUGGGUGGGAAAUCUUCACGUUUUGGAUUUUAGAAGUAUUUACGUUUAGGAUUUUUGAAUCAGGGUUUAUACUUGUCACCUGAUUUCUCCUGAACCUGAGAGAGUCAGAGUCCUUAUGUUUAGUUGUGUAGCCACAUAUUAGCUCACCAGUAUCCAAUGAAGAAUUCCAUAUCCAGGUUUACAUAACAAAUGCCUCAGAAAAUUCUCAGCCCGUCAUAAAAAUAAUACAAAAGAAUCACAAAUGUGGGAAGAACUCUCAGGAGAUAGAAAGGAGAGAGUGAGAAAAAUUAAUCAACAUUGUAUAUGUGUGUGAAAUUCUCAAAGAACCAACUUCAUAUAAAAUUGUGAAGACAAACUCCCAGGUAAUUGUUUUUCAAGAAUGCUUUUGAUAACAUUAGAAUGCUUGAUAAGAUGACAUUUGUAAUCAGUUGAUGAGGUUACUGGAAAAAAGAAUCCUCUUUGUGUUACUUGCACAUCGUAGGUUCACUGAAGGAGCAACAGCAGUAAGCUGGCAUGACUACUUAGUACAGGGUAAAGGACAAUGGAAUGUGAAUAUUAUUAUGUCAGACAGUAUUUCUAUAGUAUUUAUUUUGAAAAGGUUAUCAAAGUUAAUAUAAAAUUCUUAACUAAUUUUUGAUAUGGAAAUAAUGCAAAAAAGGUUAGUAUUUAGCCAAGUGGCGGGGGGGGAGAAAUAUUGAAAGAGAUAGCUUUCUAAAAAUGCUAAGCCUUUAAAAUCCAUAGUAUACCUAUACUACAAAACACCAAUCAGAAAAAGACCAGUCUACAGGUAUUUGUGACCGUUUGUGUGUACCGAGUGACUUUUUUCAACACAGGCUUUGUUGAGGUCUGUGUACCAUGGCAUAAGCUAUGCCUUGAUCAUAGAGGGGGAUGAGUCCUCCUCUGCUUUGGGACAGGAAGAACUGGGUCUUACUACAAGAAUUCCAACUACAAUGAAAAGCAAAUUAACCGAUACUUGAUUCUCUUUCUAGACAGAAGAAAGGUUUAAAAUAAGGGUCCAUUUCACUGAGUAACUUAUGGAUAGAUGACUUUGUGGACAUAUUCAGGACAGAGAGCAGUUCUGCUUGCAAGUCCAUUCACCUGUUUUGUCCCAAGGAACAUCUUGUUGUCACUUUUCGUUUCAUGGACUAGAAAGAGCAGUGGUACUGUUUUCUCUAAAGAGCCAUGAAUGAUGCCAAGAAGGGAAACAGGAAACCUCUUCCAUUGAAGAUAUUCAUUGAGGACAUCAUAAGCUGUGCUAAUAUAUGUGAAUAUAAAACCAAAAAUGACAUUCUGUGUUCAUGACUAGGAGAGAGACAAUUUGUAAAAUAAUGAAAUAUGGAGAUAUAAGAAGAGGGUACAGGAGAGAGAGUGAGAAUUUAGGCAGUGGUAUGUAGAAACAAUAUGUAUAUUCCAUGCACAUAAAUGUAUUUACAGUGUGAUAUGUAGAAAGCAAUAUGAAGCAAGAUUGUUUCAUGUUAGCUACAGUGUCACCAAAGAGAAAAUAAUUUUAUUAAAUGAUCCACUAACAUACAGUUUCAAUCCAAAUGCUCCUACCAUAAUUAAAUUGUUUUCUCCUGGUUGUUAUUGUUUAUAUAUAGACUUACAUGUUUUUCCAUUAUUGCUUAUAUUGUAAAAUAAAUUUGUCUAAUCAUAAAUGAUUCUAAUAAUAGAAGAUUAACAUAAAUUUUAAGCAAAAUAUUACCAAGAAUUAACAUUUGAUCUUCAUAUUUACCUGAUUGGUGACAUUUUACAUAUUUAACUAUGUCCUGUAUUCUUUCUCUUUCUCUCAAUAUGCACUCUCACACCUUAUUUUAAAGCCCAGCUAUAUAGUCUUGGCUUCUUUUUUAUAUAUUUGUGUGACUCUCCUAGGCAUAAGGAUAACUUCUGCUUAAAAAUCACCUUUAUAGACUUGAGUGUGUGUGUGUGUGUGUGUGUGUGUGUGUGUGAGAGAGAGAGAGAGAGAGAGAGAGAGAGAGAGAGAUACUAACUGUGUGUUUGGUGCUUGGGAUAGAGUUCAUGACCUCAUACAUACUAUACACUGAGUUACACCCAUAUCAAAUAAUUUUCUAUUCUUCUAAUUCUAAUAUUGUUUUUACAUGAUUGGAUUCAGUGCAGAUCAUCAGUUUAACUAUUAUGUAGAAUUCAGAACAUUCCUUCCUAAGAAUUGGAUGACACGUAGCUGAAAGAAUCACCAUGUUUUUUACUUUUGUAAAUGCUAGUGGUUAUAAAACACAUUUGGAGUCAAUAUUCUAACAUAUCACUGUAGAAAUUGUACUAGAGUAACAAAGGUGUUUAUUAUUAAAAAAAUUUUAGAUCAACAAAGUGAUAUGUUCUUCAUACCAGUUCUAGGUUAUACAAAACAGUAAUUAAACAAAAAGUGUAGUAUAAAGUUAAGUACUAGCCAGUAACAUAAAUUGGAGAGCACUCUCACCAGCUUUGCUGAACCAGAUAUGUCUAUCUUCAGGAAAGAGAAAAAGAGAUAUUCCUGUAUAUGAAUGUUCUCUUGCCUCUUCUUGAUUGAUUUUAACUGUGGCAAAUGUUCAGUAUUGUAUGUCAACAAUCUCUCUGAUGUCUUUAAACAAUAUUGUGACAUAGAUUCAGUUCCUUUAAAAUAAUUAUUUCUACUGAUUUUCAUUCAAGGUCCUAGUGGUUUUCUAUUUUAUCCUGCAACAAUUUUUUUUAAUAAAAAUAUUCCCAAUUUG